rnacentral:rRNA from 1 species
UACGUAGGCAGCAAGCGUUGUUCGGAGUUACUGGGCGUAAAGAGUGCGUAGGCGGUUCCGUAAGUUUGUUGUGAAAUCUCCCGGCUUAACUGGGAGGGUGCGGCGAAGACUGCGGGGCUGGAGUAUGGGAGAGGCAGGCGGAAUUCCUGGUGUAGCGGUGAAAUGCGUAGAUAUCAGGAGGAACACCGGUGGUGUAGACGGCUUGCUGGACCAUAACUGACGCUGAGGCACGAAAGCGUGGGGAGCAAACAG